rnacentral:piRNA from 1 species
UUUCCCGGUAAUGUUUCAUAUGCUCUUGAU